rnacentral:rRNA from 1 species
CCUACGGGUGGCAGCAGUGGGGAAUAUUGCACAAUGGGGGAAAGCCUGAUGCAGCAACGCCGCGUGAGCGAUGAAGGUCUUCGGGUUGUAAAGUCCUGUUCUUAAGGAAGAUUAUGACGGUAUCUGAGGAGUAAGCCCCGGCUAACUCCGUGCCAGCAGCCGCGGUAAUACGUAGGGGGCAAGCGUUAUCCGGAAUCACUGGGCGUAAGGGGUGCGUAGGUGGGUUAUUAAGUCAGAGGUGAAAGCCUAUGGCUAAACUGCAGUAAGCCUUUGAAACUGGGAAACUUGAGUGCGGGAGAGGAGGGUGGAAUUCCUGGUGUAGCGGUAAAAUGCGUAGAUAUUAAGAGGAACACUAGUUGCGAAGGCGACUCGCUGGAAUGUAACUGACGCUGAGGCACGAAAGCGUGGGGAGCAAACAGGAUUAGAUACCCUGGUAGUC